rnacentral:rRNA from 1 species
UACGUAGGGUGCAAGCGUUGUCCGGAAUUAUUGGGCGUAAAGAGCUCGUAGGCGGUUUGUUGCGUCGGCUGUGAAAUCCCGAGGCUCAACCUCGGGUCUGCAGUCGAUACGAGCAAACUAGAGUGUUGCAGGGGAGACUGGAAUUCCUGGUGUAGCGGUGGAAUGCGCAGAUAUCAGGAGGAACACCGGUGGCGAAGGCGGGAUCCUGGGCCAGUACUGACGCUGAGGAGCGAAAGCGUGGGGAGCAAACAGG